UGGGGUGUAGCUCAGUGGUAGAGCAUGUGCUUAGCAUGCACAUGGCACAGGUUCUGGAUCGAUCCAA
rnacentral:tRNA from 1 species